rnacentral:lncRNA from 1 species
CAAGGGACAUUGACACCUAUAUCUAUAGCAGACCAAAUGAUGGUCUUGACAAGGUCUUGAGUAAGAGCUUGAGAUACUGAGCAUAUGACUGCUUUUAAUUGCUUAGAGAGAAAACAACUGUGAUCACAGGAAAGCAGAACUUUUCUUGUGAAUAAUAUUUUGUGCACCCUUCAUCUGUGCAUGUGGGGGAUUUUCGUAUUUUUAAGGAAAAAUCCUGGGGCAGUCUUCCAUGGAAACCAGUGGGACUUGGCUGCCUGUUUACUGCACAAGUCAGU